GGGGGUUAUCUCCCUCCCUGGCUCCUCUCUUCUCUCUCUGCCUCCUGUCCAAUCAUGUGAGCCACUUACUCCUCCAGAUACUUCCACCAUGCUGAUUAUGCCUGGAGUAGGCUGACUGUGCAAGGACUGAAACUUCUGAAAUGAAUGAAGACUUUCUAUGGAAAUGAAUUGGAAAUCUGUUUGCAUCAAUCUUCUAAAAGGACUGAGUGAAAAAGAAUCCUGAGAGGGAAUAGAUUUUAGAAAGCAAAUACUCAGCAGAAGAUCACAUUAAAAUGGCAAUAACACCACUGGAUAAAUGAAACCUCCCCAACUCACCUCACCGUACUUCCCAAUCCACCAUCAGUAAAUGUGAUCAAUUUUACAGUCUAAGAAAAUUAAAAUUCUGUUUUACAGGGAUCCAACAACAAAAUGUAGUCUCUUGGUGGCAUCUCUUGGAUAUAGAGGCUCCCAUCUUGCUCAAAAUGUAAACCCAACUCACCACAGUCAUUUUCCACUAGAGCAAUGGGAGGGAGAUGAGGAGAGAUAAGAGGGAAGAAAGAUGGAGAGAGGGGAAACUUGUCAAUUUUUAGUUAAAAGUUCUCAUUUUCUAGCAAAAUGUAAGCUCUGUGAGUGAAUCUCUUCUGGAUUUACUUGGGUUUCCUGUUAAAAAUGGCUUCCAACUGUUACAUGAACCCCUGCCCACAGUGGAGAAUGAGGAAAAAUGAAAGCCUUUUACCUAAUCCUUUAUUUUCUCCAAAUGCUGGGAAAGGGGAAGGUUGGGGGUCAGUCAUUUUUCCCUUAGGAUAACUGAAGUGUUAACAUUUAACCAGAGAUUAGCUGUACCCAUAAAACUGACCUGGAUGUAACAACUGAAAAUGAAUUUUUUUUUUUUUUUUGCAUUUUUCAGUAAAAAUGCCCCUUAUUCCUACACAGACUAUGAAAUCAUCCUCUUCAAACUAGACUCCAAAUCAGAACACUGUGAAAACCACUGCAUGGGCUUGGACUGUUGAACCCUGCCUCUUUUUCCACCCCCCUUUCCUUUCUUACUAUGCUGAUUCGCUGUUCUUCCACUUCCUUUCCUCCCUGUCUGUGUCCUUGGCUUGCCUUCAUGAGACGCUGUCUUCUGUGAAGCCAUGAGAAAGUGCCACUUGGCCCAGUGUUAGGCAAGCUCUCUGCAGGGAGAACACCCCACAUGGCAGCUUUGCUUGGCUCAAAGAAGACUGGGUGCAAACCCUGGAGCUAUAGCUGGCCCCACCCUUACCUCAACUGUCCAGGGCGCUACAGGUAUGGUGGUGGAGAUCCAUUCAGCAUGAUGAGCUGUCUUCUAGUAUUUCCCUGUUCCUACUGCUCUUCCUCACAAGUCAGCCAGCCUCACCCUCUUUUGUGUGUGCCUGAGGAGCCUAGAAUAGGAAUCCCCUCCUCCUGAUCACUCCAGGGAUGUUGCUAAGCACUACCAUGGGAAUCUAGAAAUCUAAGCUCAACUGGGAAGAAGCAAUGAGAGGUGAACCAUCGACUAGUGAAAACGGUCCUGCUAGGAUAUGCUUGGAGAACUCCAUCCUGGGUCGUGGUGUGGGCUCACUUCAUUUCUCAGGGCCUCACCCAAGUGUCUGGAACCCACUGUUCUCCAUGAUGGCUUUGUUUGGUUUUGAAUAAUCUACAAAAGACCAGAAACAAAAGAAAGUAAACAAAGAAGAAGCAAAAAAAGGAAAAUUUGAUGUAUUACAGAUAAAUCUUACCAAAUUCCUCCCUCCUAUUUCCAUGGCCCAGAAAUAUAUUUCAAGGAAAACGUAAAAAUUUGUUGAGAAUUUUACUGAUAAAGUUGUUCAGGGUGGCAUUGUUUAUAAAAUUAAAAACUAGAAAAAACCCUAAAUGUCUAAUGAUAAGAAUAUUUAUGAUAACAACAUAGUCAUUUAAUUGAUGUUGUAGAAAAAUGAUUUCGACUUGGAAAUUCAAGAUUUGUUACUGAGUGAAGAAGUCAUUUAUCAAACAAUAUACACAAUAUGAGCCCUUUUCUGUGAAAAAUACAUAUAUGGCAGCAGGAAAAACAUCAAAUGUUAACCAUGGUUUUAUCUUUGGAGAGAAGAUUACGGUUUCAUUUUUUUCUUCUUUUAUGUCUCUGCAUUCAUUAAUUUCUGCAAUUCACGCAGCACUUUUGAGAAGAGAAAAAUGAUUAGAAUUUUAAAAUCAUUAUGUUGGAUUCCCUAAUAACAAUUCCUUCUUGUAAAGCACUUUUCUGAAAUUUGGAGAUUGAGACCUCCCCUACAAAUACUUUGUGACAAGCAUGAAAGUUAGUGCUGCUGAGAGAAGAGCCUUAGGCCAACUUCUUUGCAAAUUAUUAGUGAAAUACUUUAUUAGGGAGUCCAAUAAUUUAUAUUAUUAUUGUAUCAAGCGAUGUUUAAUGAGUGUCGACUAUUUUCUCUGCCUGGUGAACAGUGCUAAACAGCAUUCAUCUUUGAUUCCUUCUUUGAUUGCAAGAGUGGUUAACUGUCAAUUGCUUUACAAGCAAUUUAAACAAGCCAGCGGAAUGCUUUCAUUUUUUAAAGAUGUAUUUGAUAAUGUAUCACUAGUAAAAAUUGAAAGUGGUUAAUGCCAAGAUCUACUCUUGGAUUUUUUUUUAAUUCACAUAGCCUUUUCUCAUUCUGCAGGGUUACAAAGUCUCAUGUUUCAGUAUUUUCAUAUUUAACAGCUCAAUGUAAAUAGUACCAGUUAAUAUCCAACAGAGGGGCUGGGGUGUAGCUCAGCGAUAGAGUGCUUGCCUGCCAUACAGGAAGCCCUGGGUUAGAUUCUUAGUUUAAAAAGAGAAAAAGAAAGAAAAUGUAUAAACUACUUGGGAAUAACAGUACCUGUAAUUACCUGUAUAGAAGUGGAGGGGGAAACAAUGCUUAAGACAAAGUUGUAAGAUAUUAAUCAGGGUGACUUGUUCAAAUGUCACCAAUUUUCUAUAGUUUAGAAAAGGAGGGCCAGGGAUUUAGCUCAGUGGUUCCACAGCCUGCCUCUCAAGCAGAAGGUCCCAAGUUCAAUCCCUGGUACCAAAAAGAAAAGAAAGAAAAGAAAAGGCUUCAAGAGAUCUUAGCUUCUCUAGGCCUCUGAUCUCAUCCACAUAAACCUUCUACCAUCUUUCUGUGUGUCUUAAUUCCUGAGAGCUGCCCAUGGGAAGUUGAGGGUAAAGCAUUCCUAAAUAACUAUUAAAACUAAAAGUCAACACUGUGCCCUCGCUUUCCUACAUGGGAUGGGAUCGCGUGCCAUUUCUAGCAGCUGUGGUCAAUUCUGAAUACAGUUUUCCCAUUGAACCUGUGAGGAAAAAUAAGCUGCACUGGGUUUGCUGCUCUUUGAAUGCCAUGGCUUUCCUUUCCUAAGUGGGAAAGAAAGUUCAUUAAGAAGGAAGCCAUAUGAAGCUUAACUUUCCAGCAAAUCCAUCACCCCUUAAGUACUCUCCAUGCUCCAUAGCUCCCAGGAAAACACCUUAGAUUCCUAAGUAUCAGAAAUAUUACAACUUCCUAUCCUUCCUCAAGUCAGUGUUCAGUUUGUCUUUACUAUAAUAUUUUGUUCUUUGGGUCUAAGAAUACGUAGGGGCCAGCCCCAUCAGGUCAAGUAGAGAGUGCUUUGGGGACUGGGAAAUGUCACCUCAUUGCAAAAUUAACCCAUCCAUACCAAAAAUGAUUUCUCAAGAAACAAAAAGCCAAAACAGAAUAAAACAAAAUGAUGCUUUUAAAUUCCAAAUCCACAUUUACUGUCACAAAAUAAAUGUGUUAAAUGCAUUAAUUUGAUUCUUUCAGGCUAUGAUAGUCUAGAUGAAGACAAAAAAAAUUAGUAUCAUACUUUUGAGUCUUGUCAAUUUGAAAACACAUGGAACUUUUAAAAUAGAAUGUUCUUGACAACAGGCACAAAGCAGCAUUUCUGUUUUUAUUGAGAUCCAUUGGAUGGUGAAAUCUGGAAUGUUCCUUAUUCAUGUAUUUAAUAUCUAUGUUUAUCACCAACCUGGGGUGAAGGAGGAAUUAUCAGGCAAAUUCUCAGUCAAGAUGGGGCCUUAGUGGAUUUUUUUUUUUUGGUACUGGAAUCGAACUCAGGACCUUGCACUUGUGAGGCAGGCGGUGGAACCACUGAGCUAAAUCCCCAGCCCUCAGUGGAUUUUUUAAAGAGAGAAAUGCUGAGGCUUGGGGAUUCCUAGGGACCGGUUUCAUUUUUGUGUAGGUGGCCAGCUGAGGGAAGAGACUGGGCAGACAUAUGCAAAAGGAACAAUUCCCAUGCCGGUAUUUUAGAAGUAUGAGAACACAACAACACAUUUUGCCCAUGUGUUUGCCCUGAAGCACAGGGAAGGGAAGGUUCCUGGUCAAAUAAACCUAAUCCAGUUAGUCAUUCUGGUAGAAUCCUGAUUCCAGGGCUUGGUGUUAUUAAUAAAUGAGGCCACUGUAAAACAGGAAGCAGUUUACUGCACAGACAUUUCAAGGAGAGAAAUAAAAGUCCACAGUGUCUCUGGAUCCUCAACUUCAUCAUAGCCUCACUCUUUCCCUCCAUAAGGGUGAGAGGAACCUUCAAGAAAGUCUCCAGUCUUCCUUAGGCUUUCUGAAGAAAGUGAAUAAUCACAGCAGACAAGUGCAAAUACGAUGUGUUGCUCAAAGACCAAGUUGGCAGCUCACCCUUAUUCUAAACAGCCAGUAGCCACCCUGGAGAACAGCCUGCUUCAUUCAGGGGAGCUGAAGGCCCCAUGGGAGACGGGCACUUACCUCAGUCAGCACUGGUCUUCUCUCAGUCCCAGACCCCUCCUCUGGCUGGCAGGAAGGUGUGUAGGGGCGAGAGUCCUGCGUUUCUGUCGCUUU
rnacentral:lncRNA from 1 species